rnacentral:rRNA from 1 species
CCUACGGGAGGCAGCAGUGAGGAAUAUUGGUCAAUGGGCGCGAGCCUGAACCAGCCAAGCCGCGUGAGGGAAGACGGUUCUAUGGAUUGUAAACCCCUUUUGCCGGGGAGCAAAAGACGCCACGCGUGGCGUUCCGAGAGUACCCGAAGAAAAAGCAUCGGCUAACUCCGUGCCAGCAGCAGCGGUAAUCCGGAGGAUGCGAGCGUUAUCCGGUUUUAUUGGGGUAAAGGGGUGCGCAGGCGGAGCAACAAGUCAGCGGUAAAAUUGAGGGGCUCAACCUCUUCGAGCCGUUGAAACUGGUUUUCUUGAGUGAGCGAGAGGUAUGCGGAAUGCGUAGUGUAGCGGUGAAAUGCAUAGAUAUCACGCAGAACUCCGAUUGCGAAGGCAGCAUACCGGCGCUCAACUGACGCUCAUGCACGAAAGUGUGGGUAUCGAACAGGAUUAGAUACCCUAGUAGUC